UAUAUAUUGGAUGCUACUCUAUAUAUUACUGUUUAUAUGUAAGGGGGCUAGUUAAAAAGGUUAUAUGGUCACAACUUAGAUUCAUCAUUAGGAAUGGAAGUUCCAUACACAAUAUAGGAAUUAUUAUUUAUUAGAUUACUCAUGCCUUUACAUUAGCAUACUAUCUCAUGACAAUUUUCUUUCCAGGCUUGAAUUAUCAGCAAUGACAAAAAAGCCUAUUUAUUGGUUUCAAAAAUAAAUACUGUUUCACAAUAGGAAAAUAUUAUGAAUUGAAAAGAAUAGAUUUAAACAGACCUAGUUGCUGUAAAAAAAUUACAGAGCCGUUUACGGCAAUGGAAUCUAAAAUAAAAAAUUUCAAGAGUGAAGAAAUGCAUAGUCUCCAUUAUUUAAAUUUUAUUAGAGAUGGAGAUUCUUCUGUGUUUGCUAAUGUGAAAGAAAAAGUACAACAUGGGAACUAAAUAAAAAAAUUGACACCAGUGCACAAGAUUUUAGCUAAUACAAAGCUUCCACACUAUGGAUGAAAUAUUUUGAAACCAAGGUUACUGAAGAACUACUGUGCAAUAAAUUAUUGUACGUAGAGCAAUGGUCAGCCUAGUUCCAUGGCUGAUGAUUUUCAGAUUCGGCCACCGCAUGUAUUUGGAAACUAUGAGAAAAGGAAAAAUUUACUACUCUUUCCAUUCGUAAUUUAUAAUAUAAUUUGUACAUAGUGUUACUUUUGUAAAAUUAGCCAGACAAAUGUGAUUUGUUAUCUAUAAUAAAAAUAUAAAACUAUAAACUGGUAAAUCAUUUGCCAUUGUAUUCAAAUUUAAUUAGAGUAUGUCAUGUUUUAAGUUUGAGAAAUCAUUUCAGAAUUGUGGCAUUUUACUUAAAAACAAAUAAAACCAAAAACUUUCUUCCAAA